UGGGGAAUAUUGGGCAAUGGGGGAAACCCUGACCCAGCAACGCCGCGUGAGGGAAGAAGGCCUUCGGGUUGUAAACCUCUGUCCUUGGGGACGAAGGAAGUGACGGUACCCAAGGAGGAAGCUCCGGCUAACUACGUGCCAGCAGCCGCGGUAAUACGUAGGGAGCGAGCGUUGUCCGGAAUUACUGGGCGUAAAGGGUGCGUAGGCGGCCUGUUAAGUCAGAUGUGAAAUACCCGGGCUUAACCCGGGGGGUGCAUCUGAUACUGGCAGGCUUGAGUGCAGGAGAGGAAAGCGGAAUUCCUAGUGUAGCGGUGAAAUGCGUAGAUAUUAGGAGGAACACCAGUGGCGAAGGCGGCUUUCUGGACUGUAACUGACGCUGAGGCACGAAAGCGUGGGGAGCAAACAG
rnacentral:rRNA from 1 species